rnacentral:rRNA from 1 species
ACGGGUGAGUAAUGCAUGGGAAUCUGCCUUUUGCUGGGGGAUAACGUAGGGAAACUUACGCCAAUACCGCAUAAGACCUGAGGGUGAAAGUGGGGGACCGUAAGGCCUCACGGCAGAAGAUGAGCCCAUGUCGGAUUAGCUAGUUGGUGGGGUAAAGGCCUACCAAGGCGACGAUCCGUAGCUGGUCUGAGAGGAUGAUCAGCCACACUGGGACUGAGACACGGCCCAGACUCCUACGGGAGGCAGCAGUGGGGAAUUUUGGACAAUGGGCGCAAGCCUGAUCCAGCCAUGCCGCGUGUCUGAAGAAGGCCUUCGGGUUGUAAAGGACUUUUGUCAGGGAAGAAAAGGCUUUUGCUAAUACCAGGAGCUGAUGACGGUACCUGAAGAAUAAGCACCGGCUAAAUAUGUGCCAGCAGCCGCGGUAAUACAUAUGGGGCGAGCGUUAUCCGGAUUUAUUGGGUGUAAAGGGUGCGUAGGCGGGAAAAUAAGUCAGUAUGUGAAAUCCCUCGGCUCAACUGAGGAACUGCAACUGAAACUAUUUUUCUUGAGUGUUGAAGGGGAAAGUGGAAUUCCUAGUGUAGCGGUGAAAUGCGUAGAGAUUAGAGGAACACCAGUGGCGAAGGCGACUUUCUGGGCAACAACUGACGCUGAGGCACGAAAGUGUGGGGAGCAAACAGGAUUAGAUACCCUGGAGUCCA